AGGGGGUGUGGGGGAAAGUCUUUUCCUGGAGGGACAGCCUCACCUCCCUGCGGGAAAAACCCGCCUUCUCUACAUGUUAAGAUCUUUAUCUGCAUCAGACAGCUUACUCCAAGUUCAGUGUUAAAGACAAAAAUUUCUGCCAUAGAUGGAGGCAUUCAGUACAGCUGCGCAUUCCCGGGCUAGAGUGUGUGCCUGUGCGUAGGCUUCCGGGCUUCGAGGAGGAGCAGGACGUCAGACUGCGGCAGAGGAUCUAAAAGGCUAGUCUGCGCCCGCCCUGCUCCUGGCGCCCGGCGGGACUGCGACCUCACCGGCAGCAUAAUUGCGUGUGUCCAGUAAGCUCCUGGGGUUGUCCCGUGGCAAUCUGCAGUUCGUUGCUCCUCGGGUCAGGCAAAGAAAAAGUUCGCCCUGUUUGAGAUACAACUUACAAAACACUUUUCUUUUUUAAAAUAAAAAAAAAAUCAUGAGAAUUUUUAGUCCCGACUCCAAAUGAGACCAACUUUGAACGAAACUCAGUUUCGUUUUUUCAUGUAGGUGAGAAAAAUAAAUCGGCCGUGCCUUGCUGGUGCUAUCCUAUUGGACUGACAUUUAUAGAAGCCGCCGCUUAUCAAAUGAAAAUCAGAAGCGGAAGGCCCACCUAGGGGGUCUACCAACAUCCUCGAAGCCCGGGCUCCGUCCAAGGAAAGAAAGGAGUAGGAAGGAGAACCAGAGAGAACUCCAAAGAGGUCUGGUGCAUGGCUGUGCGGCUCGUACCCAAGUUCGGAGGCACUAAGUGUGCCCUGUUAAAACCCGAGGGGUGCUGGAAGGGGUCUGGGUCCCGUCGCGCCAGGCCUUGGGUCCAGGGCUGGAGAAAGAGAGAACCCCAACCUACCCGACCCCGACAGCUUCCACCUCGGAGAAGAGCUGCCUAAUUGGGCAUCGAGCUGCUGUGAAAUUUGCGGUCUGUUAAUGAAUGACCCACCUCCUCGGCUAUUCCUAUCAAAGGCACAAAACUGAUAUUUUCACACCUCUGCAGGAGCUGUUUAUAAACAUCCUGCGUUCGUGGGAUGGAAAAAAAGGGGGUGGGGGCUGCAUUGACAAGGUCUCUGGAGCUCAGUAUUUAAAAGCUAUAGAUCCGAAUUAGAAAAUUAUUACUUUAAAUAGAGAAAGCCCCCACCAAUUUAACUACUGAACUUUGAGCAUCUGAGCUCCUGGUGCUAACUGCAAGUUUGGAGGAACUUAUCCUGGAGCUUGCACGGAAGGCAGGCCAUCCACUGGCUCUCAGCUUCCAGAGCUGUAGCUUCUGGGGCUGCAGUUCUCCAGAGGGUUGGCGAGGGCUAUCCUGGAUCGCGUCUACAGAGACCUAGGUCAGUCACAGCUGGGACCUGGGAGAAAGCCUAGGCGAAGUAGCCCGAGUGGCCUGAGCUUGGCGGCGCAACGCUUUCUUCAGCCCAAGUCCAGAGCGCAGUCGGCCCAGGACUCUCCGGUCCACUGCAGUAGGGGAAUGCGUGACCUUGGCUCCGAUGAAGGAGCCGCCAAGGUCCCUGAGGUGAGCGCUGAAACUGCAAGCGUGGCACUUGACUGUAGGCGGGUGUCUUUGGAUUGUUGGCCCACUUCGUUUAUUGUGCAGAGGAGUCUGAAAAGUGAUUGAAGAAGAAAGAUUGUCCAGAGAUACUUUUUGCUUAAAACCGUGCGGCUGGAAACCUGUGUCCUUAUUCAGUGACCCAGAGCGUGAAACCUGCUCACCUUGGGGCUCACUGGGCCCAGACUGUUUUAGACUUUGUCACCCGUAGCGUCCGGGGGAACUGAGUUGUGAUUAUUCUCGAAAGUGAAGGUCACCAAGAAGGUGCAUACCGGGGUCUGAGAUUUACGGUUAGCUGAGGCUGUGCUAACCGUAGGGUAGGGGAAGUUUAUUACUAGACCGCACCAGGGACACUCGGAACACCCUCCCCUUGGUCCCUGCGCGACACCCCCAUGUCCCAAUGAAGACAAACUGGAGGUACACGGAGGAAGAGCGAGCCUGCACGUGUGUGUGAGCUAGUUCUUCAGGAAACCCGGCUCACUAACGGGGCCCAGAAAUGAAGCAAGAACAGAACUCGGGGACAAGGAGCCCGAAAUUAGGGGAGGGGCUGCCGGGAAGACUCCCGGGUUAAACGUUAGUAGGCAGCUCCAUUAACUCAUUGUGACAUUCACAGGCCCACAAUCUCACUUUAAGCACGCCUGCGGUUUAGAGCCGCGGGUGUUCUGUGACUUUUGUCGUGGCCAAUAAAGCAGGAACCACGGAAACUUGACUGUUGUUUCUAUAGAAUCCUGCCUGCAAAUCCCUGAAGUGCAAGGUGUAGCAAAACGCAAUAAUUGCCACCUCCUACCCCCCUUAGAGUUUUCUUUACAGAUUCUAGGCACUCUCCUCUGCCAUAGAUCCAGUUUUGAGCUCCCUCAUCUGGGAGGGUGGAGCUCUCAUCCCGGAGGUGACUUCCCCACCCUACUCCUAUCCCCAUAUCAUCCCAUCCCGCCCAAGACAAUUCCUCAUGGUUCCAUAAUUGGAAUUAAACCCCAGCCAGAGUGACAGAAAAGCCACGCUCUGUCUGAAUGCAACAGCCCGCUCCAGCAGAGUUUCUGUAGCCAGGAGUGGAAGAGAGCCGCGGUUCCCAGUAUUUGAUAAAGUUUGCUAAGGGAACGGUUUUGGGAGAGCCCAGCAAGCAGCACACAGCUUUCCUGUCCAUGACACUCUGCAACACUCCCCAGGUUGUGCAAGUCAGCCCAUGUCUUAACAGAAUUUGUAAAAUGAUGCCUUCGCCAUGAAUGUCCAAAGAAAAUGUCUAAACCAUACUUUUAAAAAGUAGCGUUGUGUAUGGAUUUCAACUACAGGACACUUGGUUCUUGUAACCAAGGAAAUGUUCCCCUCGAAUUCUCUCUCUUCCUUUCUCCCCCCCCCACUUGCCUUCCUGGGGGCAGGGGUGUUAAAGAGCAAGACAAUGUGAUGUCCAUUUAAUGUGGAGUUUGAAGCUAGUGAGCCUGUAGUCAGACAUUGAGGAGAUUAACAGAAGAGCUCAGUUUUUACCAUCUACAAGAUGAAGAGCACUAAACAGUUGUCAUAUCAAUAGAAAUAACGCUCGGAUAAGUGUUCAGCCAGUUCUUUGGGAAUGCAGUUCUGGUCCCCCCCCCCAUUCUUCCCUGGAGAGGUCUAGGAGCUGAGGCAUCAUCAAAGCCUUGUUCGAAAAGGUGGGAACAGUCCAGGUUCUCCACUGUCCAGUGAGAUGCCCUUAGGGUUCCCCAGACAGCCUGAAGGAAAUGUGUCUGUCCAUGAGCCUCAGAGGCUCUGGGAGAGAAUGGUCAGUCUGGAGCCCCUUCUCCUGACUGCAACUUUAGCCAAACCCCUCAAUCCGAAUUUCCUGAACUGCCCUGUUCUCCUGGGUUUAUCUUGAGGCUAAUCUUGUGUGUUUACAAAGCAGGCACCUGGGUUUCUGUGAAUCCCUGGGAGGCAAGCAUCUGAGAAUUGUGAGCAUGGCAGUAGAUGCUGCUUGCCCCCAGCAGUGCUCUGAUGCAAGCCUAGUUCAGCCUCCCCAGCAAUGCUGUCUCCACCUUAGAAUCCAGACCAAGAACAUGGAAGCUGUGUUUUCAGACUUUUAGCCAUGUGGCUCUUUCGGGUGAGUUCAGAAGGGCCAGCUUUGGUAAAUGGUUUUAUGACGUGACUCUUCUCAGAGUUCAGAAGACUUGGUGGGGACCUCGCAGUUCAGUCUCCAGCCCUUUGCUUCUGGGUCUUCUGUCUGCCUCUAUACCCCCAGGGAGAGGUUCCUGGUAUCCAUCCCACAUCCACCGUCAUGGAAUGGUUUGGAGCGUCAAAAAGGGCACAAGAGGGAAAAAUGGAGUCAGUUCUUAAACCCACAGUAGCUUUUUGUCCUUUCCCUUCCAGCUGACAUUUACACAAGUGGAUUCAUCCUGGGGGAAUCAAGCAAUGACUAGAUCCCCAUACUGAUGGCAGUACAGAGGGUUAAGCCUCUUCUGCAAUUUUCCUUUUGGACUUGACCACAGCUCUAACUCUGUAACUCUAAAGUCUGAAGAGUGCCCGUCUCUGGCUGUGCAAAAGUGGGGUGUCUCACCCUUGGUGGGAAAACCUUCAGAAACAGUUUCCUAACACAAACAGGAGUGCCAGCAGGUACUCUGAGAGCUCCAUGGAGACCGGAACUGUGUGCUCUUCUGACUCUCUGGAACCAAGUUUAGUGCCUGGCACUGGGCAAUACAAGUUCUGGCCAGCAGCAGGCUAGCUCCUUCCUCUGUCUGUGUUGUUCCAGCACUUUCUCCAUUGUCCUGGCCGCUUUCUUCCUCAGGAACAGCAUUUAACUUUUUUUUUUAAAUCCCUCAAAGAACUUAAGCCAGGAAGGGAGUGGACAAUCUGACCAAAUGACUGAUCUUCAUUUACAGUGACGGAGCUCUUAGAAUCUCAGUAUGCAGUGGAGCUGGACACCUGCUUUGUCUUCCAGAGAGGACACAGGAGGAGCAGCUUCUGAACUUGGGGAUACUAUAGUGUAUGAUUGUAGGGACAUCUAGGAAUACUAGCAUGGGUCAUUAUAGAGACACCUUGGAUAGAGACUAUGUGUGGUCAGGGAUAGGAUAAGCCUCUCUGGUCUCAUUCUGCACACACAGAAAUGCUGUGCAUUUUAUCAGAUUCUGUCGCAAGUUUUGCUCCAGGAAAAAAGGGGGAACGGAGCAGAUAGAGAAGAUUGGAGCUGAGGCUAUUGGGAACCAGGUGCUGCUGGAGGCAGGUGUGAGGUCUAACUCUAGAUCUAGCCCACCUCCACCCUGGCUGUGUAUUUCUCCAGAACUCCCCCAAAACCUGAAGUCUGGGAUUCCAAGUCUUAGAAAGAUCUGGAAGAGGCCUCUCAUCCCUGAUGGGGAUUAAUCCCUCCACUCCAGGGAACUCCUGAAUUCUUGAGUUUUUCACAUGCACCUAACAAGCCAAGUUAGGGCAAUAAUGAUAAACAUUUAUUUUUAAAAUAUUUAUCUAUUCUUAUUUUAUGUUUAUGAGUGUUUGUCUGUAUGAAUGUCUGUGUACCAAAUGAAUGAAGAGUCAGAAAAAGCUAGAAGAAGGAAUUGGAUCCCCUGUAGCUGAAGGUACUAACAACUGGGAAGCUGCUUUGUCAGUGUUCGGAAUCAAACCUGGCUCUCUUUAUAAGAGCAACCAAUGCUCUUAACAGCUGAUCUUUUAAGUGCAGAAAUACUUAACUUUAUAUUAUAUCCAUGCACCCAAUUGGUUUCAUGGUCUUGAGCAAAAUGAAUGUCUAUUCAGUAGCACCUGCAAACUCAAGCAGGAGCUGCUGCAGGCUUUUGUAAAUGCGGCAAAACCCAACUUUGAGAGUGGUCAGCCUCAUGAAUUUCAGUCAUAUUUAAGUUCUCUUUUUUGAAGGUACUCCAAUGCAGUCCUAUCCCCCCAAAGUGUGUCUUAGGGUGUCAGUGGGUAGAGACACUUAAGUUCCCCCUCUGGAACCUGCAGGUAGACUGGGAGACACAGUUCCUGCAAGUUGUCUUUUGACCUGUGCUUGCUAGCUCCCCCACCACACACACAAAUAAACAUAACUUUAAAGACUGUCUCACCCUCCACCACCUUCAGAGAAUAUUCGGACUCUCUUUGCAUUCAUUGUUGCUUUUCUGUCUUAGAGUCAAAAGGAAAUUUUUGUUUAAUUAUUCAAACAUAUCUUUACUGCAUCAUGUGAUAAACUUUCCAAUGCUGCUUCCUCUUUCUUCUCUUUGGAAUAUUUCCACCUUGCACCAGUAACUUUAAUGAUUCAGUGGAGUGGAAGAAACUCUUCUCAAUCAAAUCUGAACCAGACACUAAGGGUGCAUUAGCUUUAGAGGGGUUGACCCCAAAUUCAAUUCUCCGCUGGGGUGGGGUUGAAUCAAGCUAUGCAAAUCUGUUCUUUUAACAGUCCUGGUAGAAAGCCGGUUCCCUGAAAACACCCUUGUCUUUGCUUCUUUAAAGCCCUCCCCCCCCCGCCAGGUAAGGCCCUCAAAAGACUAUUAUAGGCAUAUAUAUGUCCAUUAUAGGCAGCAGUUGAGUGAGGACCACAUGGCUUCCCCUGCUGUGUCACCUGUCUCUGAUGGCUGUGAUACCCCCUACAUAGACCAGAAACCCACAGCUCCAACAGAUGCCUCUAUGGAGAGUCUGGACACAAACCCAUGCCAAGGUCUCAAUCACUGUGCUCACCAGUAAUAAUUGUCUGUUCCUAUGGUGUACUUGAUUCCCGCCCCUCACUUUCCCUUGGAAUAAUAGAAGUGAGAAAUAGCAUCUGGUUUGGGCAGUGAAAGGUGCUAGAACACUGGGGGUCCUGAGUGCCAGUUUUAAAGUUCACAUGCUUUGCCAAGGAGUGGCUGCAGACUGGCAAGUGACUUGCACUCUCUCACAGUCUGGGGUUGUAAAUACUGUUGCUUUUCCUUGGUAACUCCCACACCCCAGGCUAGCAGGUCACCUCUUGUCUGGCUCCAGGCCCUUCCUCUAGGUGGGUUGCCUGAGCAGCCUGGAUCAGCACCCUCUUUGCAGGUGACCUCUUACUUAGGUCCUGCUCGGGAACCACCUGGUCUCUGGGCAGUCAGGCAGUGGCCUCCAGGCUUUUGCCCCACCACCCACCCCCUCUGGCGGGAUCUCUCUCCAGUGCAUGCUGCGAGCAUCCCCACACUCAGGAUGUCCAGGAAGGCUACUGUGGCUUGGGAUGAUGGCUAGAGCUCUGGAUGGGCUGGAGUCAACCCUGGGCAGAGAGAGUAGGGAUCCUGCUUGGCUGGUGGAACCAGCCCCUGCCCUUCAGCCAUUGGCCAUGGGCUAGCCCAGCACCCAGGCUUGGGUUUCACUGCGAAUGUUCCUGGUCUGGAAGCAGAUGUGGCCUCCAGAGCUCCUUAAGACUUUUUUUUUUCUAUGAGAAAGUCAAUGCCCUCCUGAGGACCCCUAGCUCAAACUGGGUUUCCCUCAGCUCCACUUGCUUGUAUUUCUUGCUUUGUCUUUAAAGAGCCGCAGACCGGCAGGCACUCACUCAGGCAGCGCCCAGAAAGCUUUAAAAAGCUGACUAGAGGCACCUUCUCCAGUUAGGGACAAGGCCUCAUUAGGCUGUGGGGAUUUCCUAGGUGGGCAGGCCCCGAAGUCCAAAUCCUGCAGGAAGUUGGAGUCUGAGAGAUAUGAUCUGCUUUGGACUGGCGCAGAAUUCUGGAAUCCACUCUCUCCAGGCACAGUUCUCCCAUCCCCCCCCUACCCCGGCGGUGGGAGGGAGGUGGGGGGGGGGAGAAGGGGCUCAGGACUCAGGAGGAAGGGAUGCUGGCCUGACCAUCCUCUGGAGUGGCUCAGUCUCAGGGAGCAUUUCCCUGGGGAUUGCCUACUUGGUCUCAGUCCCCUUCCCAAUCCCUGCUGCUUGGCCUUUGGUACUUUUUAAAUAAAGCCAUUCAGUGCUAGGGCAAAUGGUUGUAACUUGAUUAGGCACGCAUGUACAGCUCUAAGGGGUGUGUGUGUGUGUGUGUGUGUGUGUGCGCGCGCGCGCGCGCUAGGCUGAUGAGAAUAUGUUCUGAGCCAAAGAUGAGCAGAGUCCUUAGGGCCCUGAGUUUCUUAAGUUAAAUGAAGAACUUGUUUUCCCUUCGUGGGAUUAUCUUUUUAAUAUAUUUUAAAAUCAUGUUCUUAAUUUUGGUCACCUUGAGAGAAGUUUCUUACCAAUGUGAGUAGAAGCCGAAGGGGAUACAUUUGCAAGGCCACCUUUAAUCUGCAGAAACAAUCAGUGGAGUUUGGUGUUCAACAAGCGACAUGCAUGCUUUCUUUGCUGCUGGCCAGGGUGUCGUUUUUAAAAGAUAGAUCCCUGUUCAUUGUUUCUGCUGGGUACGGUGGUCAUUGGAACACAUCUGUUCCUGAUAGCUUUUCUAUGUCGAGCACACACUAUCGUGUUAGCAAGAUUUUACACCAUCUGUUUAAAAAAUUCUUGCCAGUGCUAUUUGAUGCCCGGUUGAACUUUAGCCAAACUUCAUUUUAUACUCUUCUCUUGGUCCAGAGCAUAUAUAAUACACUUUAAUGAAAUUAUGCUUUCAUACUUGCUGACAGGCAUCAGAAACAUAUUUGCCCAGGUCAACAGUGGUCCAGCCAAGUGUGACAGGGAGGGACAGCCCUGAAACACCACAGGGGUAAAGAUGCUGGAGAGAAAAAUAUUUGGAAGCAAAGCUUUUAAAUUAAAAUCAAGUCAUCACCCAACUAAAC